GUAACAAGGUUUCCGUAGGUGAACCUGCGGAAGGAUCAUUACAGUAGUCGCCCGGGUUGCCGCAAGGCCUCCCGGGCAACCUACCACCCUUUGUUUAUUACACUUUGUUGCUUUGGCAGGCCUGCCCUCGGGCUGCUGGCUCCGGCCGGCGAGCGUCUGCCAGAGGACCUAAACUCUGUUUGUCUAUACUGUCUGAGUACUAUAUAAUAGUUAAAACUUUCAACAACGGAUCUCUUGGUUCUGGCAUCGAUGAAGAACGCAGCGAAAUGCGAUAAGUAAUGUGAAUUGCAGAAUUCAGUGAAUCAUCGAAUCUUUGAACGCACAUUGCGCCCCCUGGUAUUCCGGGGGGCAUGCCUGUCCGAGCGUCAUUACAACCCUCAAGCUCAGCUUGGUGUUGGGCCCCGCCGCCCCGGCGGGCCCUAAAGUCAGUGGCGGUGCCGUCCGGCUCCGAGCGUAGUAAUUCUUCUCGCUCUGGAGGCCCGGUCGUGUGCUCGCCAGCAACCCCCAAUUUUUUUCAGGUUGACCUCGGAUCAGGUAGGGAUACCCGCUGAACUUAAGCAUAUCA
rnacentral:misc_RNA from 1 species